rfam:Triticum urartu cultivar G1812 contig1045910, whole genome shotgun sequence.
CAACUACUCCCUCCGUUCCGAAUUACUCGUCGAAGAAAUGGAUGUAUCUAGAACUAAAAUACAUAUAGAUACAGCCAUACGUGCGACAAGUAAUUCGGAACAGAGGGAGUACAAG